CCUACGGGAGACAGCAGUGAGGAAUAUUGGUCAAUGGCCGGGAGGCUGAACCAGCCAAGUCGCGUGAGGGAAGACGGCCCUACGGGUUGUAAACCUCUUUUGUCAGGGAGCAAGGUGCAGGUCGGGACCUGCUGUGAGAGUACCUGAAGAAAAAGCAUCGGCUAACUCCGUGCCAGCAGCCGCGGUAAUACGGAGGAUGCGAGCGUUAUCCGGAUUUAUUGGGGUUAAAGGGUGCGCAGGCGGAGGCACAAGUCAGCGGUAAAAUCGCGGGGCUCAACCCCGCUCCGCCGUUGAAACUGUGUCCCUUGAGUGGGCGAGAAGUAUGCGGAAUGCGUGGUGUAGCGGUGAAAUGCAUAGAUAUCACGCAGAACCCCGAUUGCGAAGGCAGCAUACCGGCGCCCUACUGACGCUGAGGCACGAAAGUGCGGGUAUCGAACAGGAUUAGAUACCCUGGUAGUC
rnacentral:rRNA from 1 species